rnacentral:rRNA from 1 species
UACGGAGGGAGCUAGCGUUGUUCGGAAUUACUGGGCGUAAAGGGCGCGUAGGCGGUCAGCACAAGUCAGUUGUGAAAUCUCCGGGCUUAACUCGGAAAGGUCAACUGAUACUGUGCGACUAGAGUGCAGAAGGGGCAACUGGAAUUCUCGGUGUAGCGGUGAAAUGCGUAGAUAUCGAGAGGAACACCUGCGGCGAAGGCGGGUUGCUGGGCUGACACUGACGCUGAUGCGCGAAAGCCAGGGGAGCGAACGGG